GGACAGAAAGACCCUAUGAAGCUUGACUGUAUCCUGGAAUUGGGUUUGGGCUUUUCUUGCGCAGUCUAGGUGGGAGGCUAUGAAGAUUUCCUUCUGGGGAAGUUGGAGCCAUCAGUGAGAGACCACUCUGGAGAGGCUAGAAUCCUAAUGGUGAUCCUUGAAUCAGGACACUUGACAGUUUCAGGUGGGCAGUUUUUCUGGGGCGGAAGCCUCAUAAAAGGUAACUGAGGCGCGCAAAGGUCCCCUCAGUCUGGACGGAAAUCAGACAACGAGUGUAAAGGCAAAAGGGGGCUUGACUGCAAGACCUACAAGUCGAGCAGGAGCGAAAGCUGGCCUUAGUGAUCCGACGGUACCGUGUGGAAGGGCCGUCGCUCA
rnacentral:rRNA from 1 species